CCUACGGGGGACAGCAGUGAGGAAUAUUGGUCAAUGGGCGCAAGCCUGAACCAGCCAAGUAGCGUGAAGGAUGACUGCCCUACGGGUUGUAAACUUCUUUUAUAAGGGAAUAAAGUGAGUCACGUGUGCCUUAUUGCAUGUACUUUAUGAAUAAGGAUCGGUUAACUCCGUGCCAGCAGCCGCGGUAAUACGGAGGGUCCGGGCGUUAUCCGGAUUUAUUGGGUUUAAAGGGAGCGUAGGUGGGUUGUUAAGUCAGGUGUGAAAGUCCGCGGCUCAACCGUAGAAUUGCACUUGAAACUGGCAGUCUUGAGUACAUGUGAGGAUGGCGGAAUUCGUGGUGUAGCGGUGAAAUGCUUAGAUAUCACGAAGAACUCCGAUCGCGAAGGCAACUUUC
rnacentral:rRNA from 1 species